rnacentral:rRNA from 1 species
CCUACGGGAGGCAGCAGUGAGGAAUAUUGGUCAAUGGGCGCAAGCCUGAACCAGCCAAGUAGCGUGCGGGAUGACGGCCCUACGGGUUGUAAACCGCUUUUGCACGGGGAUAACACCCUCCACGUGUGGAGGUCUGCAGGUACCCUGCGAAUAAGGGCCGGCUAAUUCCGUGCCAGCAGCCGCGGUAAUACGGAAGGCCCGAGCGUUAUCCGGAUUUAUUGGGCUUAAAGGGAGCGCAGGCGGGCGUUCAAGUCAGCGGUAAAAUCGCGCGGCUCAACCGCGCCCCGCAGUUGAAACUGGACGCCUUGAGUGCACAACAGGCAGGCGGAAUUCGUGGUGUAGCGGUGAAAUGCAUAGAUAUCACGAGGAACCCCGAUUGCGAAGGCAGCCUGCCGGGGUGCGACUGACGCUGAGGCUCGAAGGUGUGGGUAUCAAACAGGAUUAGAUACCCCAGUAGUC